ACUUAGAUACGCCCCUUAAUUUACACACCGUGAUACGGUGAUCGUGGACGAUGGCUGUUUUUGAUGUUCAGCUGUGUGUAAACACGUUGUUAUAUUUCUUUAUUUUUGUUUGUGGAUUUGCAAUAUCUAUACCAAUAGGAGUCACUGAUAUUCAGUCCAAGGGAUGUGUGCUGUACGGUUCACUGAAGCCGUUUAAUGCUACUCACUAUACACUGAGCUUCAGUUCCAAGGCAAACUGUGAUUUCCCCAUCUAUGUCGGUGUGUUUGUCUGUAUUUUCUACGCUUUGGGGAUGGGAAUCUACAAUUCCUACGCCAUUUAUAAGUCACAAAAAGAUCCGUCAAUUUCGUCCCAGAUGUGGGUGAUGCCGUUCAUUCUCCUCAACUCUCUGGUGACCGCCGCCAUGUUUGUCUCCUCCUGCAUCGUCAGUGUGGGGUUCAGAGAACUGUGUGACUCCCUGACCCAGGACAAGCCUUACCAGUACUACUCAAGACAGCAUCGUGGAUUUGUACCCUUGGCUGGUUGGCACUGGUCAUAUCUGGAAUUGUCCGGUUUGCACUCAACAGGCGACUAAGAACCCAGGGCGCUGCAAUGUCUUCAGACACAGCAAAUAUUUCCACCAUUGAGCCGACUGCGUGAACAUGAUGGACAUCCAUAAAUGGACUUGUGUAGGCACAUGUGUGCUGAUUUUGAAAGAAAACUGGUAACAUAUGUGCGUUCCGUUGGACAACACAACAUAAUGUUAAGUCACUGUCUCUUUGGAAGAAAAUAUACUCGUGGUCAGCUGUGAAGAUGGGAUCUGUGCUCACUUUUUAAUUGUUAAAUUAAUGAUUAAUAUCUGUGAAGUAUUUUGAGAACAGCAUUUAGGUGUUGUAUUUAUUCAGCAAGUUGGCAUAAUGAUUACAUACUGUAAAAAAGUCUUAUAUACUAGCAUACUUUAUAUAACACAAAGGAAAUCGGUUGUGAGUUAAUCAUUUUUGUCAUUUUUAAUAACAAUUUGCAAUUGUUGAAAAUGGAUAUUAAAAGUCAGUUAAACUUGAUAUUUUUAGAAUGCAUAUUAUUUUUUUCAUUGAAUAGUGUUCUUUGUUUAUCGUUUUUAUUUUUAUGUUAUCGCUCAAAUGUUCUUUUCCUCAGCAAGAAUAAACAUUAGGUGCAUUGAUAGCGUCAAUUUAGCGAUAAUAACACUGUUUGCAAAAUGAAGUUAUAAAUAUAGUUAGUCUUUUUCAAUUAUCAAAAUCCUGUCGCAUUAUGUAAUACACAUUUAUCAUUAUGUAAUACACAUUUAUCAUUAUGUAAUACACAUUUAUCAUUGUGUAAUACACCUUUAUCAUUGUGUAAUACACAUUUAUCAUAAUGUAAUACACAUUUAUCAUUAUGUAAUACACAUUUAUCAUUUUAAACAAAACAUUUCGUUCAUUUAUCUAAUACAUGCUUAAUAUAUUAACUACAAAGUAUGUCAUAUAAUAAAAUUUGUCGUAUAUAAAACUUAUUAUAAAAUAAAAUUUCAAUUUGAACGAAAUCAAACU
rnacentral:misc_RNA from 1 species